rnacentral:rRNA from 1 species
UGAUCAUGGCUCAGAUGAACGCUGGCGGGAUGCUUUACCUUCACAGUCGAACGCUUACUUCGGACUUCGGUCUGGUGGCGAGUGGCGAACAGGUGAGCAAUGUAUCGGAACGUUACCUGAAGUAGCGCGGGGAUGCUACGCGAAAGCGUAGCUAAUACGCGCAUACGCCCUUCGGGGAAAGCGAGGCCUUCAGACUCUGCCUAUUAGAGCGGCCGAUAUCGGAUUAGUAGUUGGUGGUGGCGCAGCGCCCGCAAGGCGACGAUCCGUAGCUGGUUUGAGGAGGACGACCAGCCACACUGGGACUGGACACGGCCCAGACUUCUCCUACGGGAACGCAGCAGUGGGGAAUUUUGGACAAUGGGAAACCUGAUCCAGCCAUCCCGCGUGUGCGAUGAAGGCCUUCGGGUUGUAAAGCACUUUUGGCAGGAAAGAAACGGCACGGGAUAAUACCCCGUGCAACUGACGGUACUGCAGAAUAAGCACCGGCCUUCUAACUAAGAGUACCAGCAGCCGCAGUAAUACGUAAGUGCAAGCGUUAAUCAGAUUACUGGGCGUCAAGCGUUGCGCGAGCAGGUUCAGAAGAAAAGAUGUGAAAUCCCAGAGCAUAACUUUGGAACUGCAUUUUUAACUACCGAGCUAGAAUACAUGAUCAGGGAGGUGGGGUCGCGUGUAUGGUGUGCGUAGAUAUGCGGAGGAACACCGAUGGCGAAGGCAGCCUCUGGAUAUUACCCCGACGCUCUGCACAGCAGUGAGGCAAACAGGAUUAGAUGCCCUGGUAGUCCACGCCUAAACGAUCAACUAGCUGUUGGGGCCUUCAGGGCGGCGAAGUGGCCUGUGCUGCGUGAGGAUUGACCGCCACAGGAGUACGGUCGCAAGAUUAAACUCAAGAUUGGCGGGGACCCGCAAGCGGUGGAUGAUGUGGAUUAAUUCGGUAUUACGAAAAAGCCUUACCUACGCCAACAUGUCCCGGAAUCCGAAGAAGUUGGAGUGCUCGCAAGAGGAGCCGGAACACAGGUGCUGCAUGGCUGUCGUCAGCUCGUGUCGUGAGAUGUUGGGUUAAGUCCCGCGACGACGCAACCCUUGUCAUUAGUUGCUACGAAGGGCGCUCUAAUGGCCGCGAGUGACAAGCCGGAGGAAGUGCGAGGAUGACGUCAGUCCUCGCGCUGCCAUAUGGUGAGCUACAUCUUUAAAUGGUCGGGACAGAGGGUCGCCAACCGCGAGGAGCCAAUCCCAGAAACCCGAUCAGCAGUCCGGAUCGCAGUCUGCAACUCGACUGCGUGGUGAAGUCAGAAUCGCGCCGGUAAUCGCGGAUCAGCAUCAUCCAUGAUCGGGCCAUUACCGGUCUUCCACUUUCGCCACGUCACACCAUGGGAAUUUGGUUUACCAGAAAGUGAUUAUUAUCUUAUUAGGAAGGCGGUCACACCACGGUAAAGUUCAGGCUGGGGUAGAAGUCAUAUCGAUAG